rnacentral:rRNA from 1 species
GACGAACGCUGGCGGCGUGCUUAACACAUGCCAGUCGAACGGAAAGGCCCUGCUUUUGUGGGGUGCUCGAGUGGCGAACGGGUGAGUAACACGUGAGUAACCUGCCCUUGACUUUGUGAUAACUUCAGGAAACUGGGGCUAAUACCGGAUAGGAGCUCCUGCUGCAUGGUGGGGGUUGGAAAGUUUCGGCGGUUGGGGAUGGACUCGCGGCUUAUCAGCUUGUUGGUGGGGUAGUGGCUUACCAAGGCUUUGACGGGUAGCCGGCCUGAGAGGGUGACCGGCCAACUUGCGCGUGAGCUACGGCAGGGACUACUACGGGAGGCAGCGGUGGGGAAUAUAGCACGAUCGACGGAAGCCGGAUGCAGCAACGACGCGCGCGGGAUGACGGCCUUCGUGUAGUAGACAGCUUUCGCGUGUGACGAUGCGUGAGUGACGGUAAUGGGUAAAGAAGCACCGGCUAACUACGUG